rnacentral:rRNA from 1 species
AGUGAACGCUGGCGGUAGGCCUAACACAUGCAAGUCGAACGGCAGCACAGUAAGAGCUUGCUCUUACGGGUGGCGAGUGGCGGACGGGAGAGGUAUACAUCGGAAUCUACUUUUUCGUGGGGGAUAACGUAGGGAAACUUACGCUAAUACAGCAUACGACCUACGAGGGAAAGCAGGGGAUCUUUGGACCUUCCGCGAUAGCAGGUGGCGCUGUCGGUUUAGCUAUUUGGGGGGGGAAAGGCCCACCACGGGGAGGCACCGUAUCGGGUUUGAGAGGGUGACCAGCAACACUGGAACGGGGACACGGUCCAGACUCCUACGGGAGGCAGCAGUGGGGAAUAUUGGACAUUGGGCGCAAGCCUGCUCCAGCCAUACCGCGUGGGUGAAGAAGGCCUUCGGGUUGUAAAGCCUUUUUGUUGGGAAAGAAAAGCAGCAGGUUAAUACCCCGCUGUUCUGACGGUACCCAAAGAAUAAGCACCGGCUAACUUCGUG